UACGAAGGGGGCUAGCGUUGCUCGGAAUCACUGGGCGUAAAGCGCACGUAGGUGGGUCGUUAAGUCAGGGGUGAAAUCCCGGAGCUCAACUCCGGAACUGCCUUUGAUACUGGCGAUCUUCGAGUUCGGGAGAGGUGAGUGGAACUGCGAGUGUAGAGGUGAAAUUCGUAGAUAUUCGCAAGAACACCAGUGGCGAAGGCGGCUCACUGGCCCGAUACUGACACUGAGGUGCGAAAGCGUGGGGAGCAAACAGG
rnacentral:rRNA from 1 species